UACAGAGGUCCCAAGCGUUGUUCGGAUUUACUGGGCGUAAAGGGUGCGUAGGCGGUCGGGUAAGUCUGAUGUGAAAUCUCCGAGCUUAACUCGGAAAUGGCAUUGGAUACUAUUCGGCUAGAGAGUUGGAGGGGGGACUGGAAUACUUGGUGUAGCAGUGAAAUGCGUAGAUAUCAAGUGGAACACCAGUGGCGAAGGCGAGUCCCUGGACAACUUCUGACGCUGAGGCACGAAAGCUAGGGGAGCAAACAGG
rnacentral:rRNA from 1 species